rnacentral:rRNA from 1 species
GACGAACGCUGGCGGCGUGCUUAACACAUGCAAGUCGAACGGAAAGGCCCUGCUUGCAGGGUACUCGAGUGGCGAACGGGUGAGUAACACGUGGGUGAUCUGCCCUGCACUUCGGGAUAAGCCUGGGAAACUGGGUCUAAUACCGGAUAGGAGCCAUUUUUAGUGUGAUGGUUGGAAAGUUUUUUCGGUGUAGGAUGAGCUCGCGGCCUAUCAGCUUGUUGGUGGGGUAAUGGCCUACCAAGGCGGCGACGGGUAGCCGGCCUGUGAGGGUGGACGGCCACAUUGGGUCUGAGGGGCGGCCCAGACUCCUACGGGAGGCAGCAGUGGGGAAUAUUGCACAAGGGGCGCAAGCCUGAUGCAGCGACGCCGCGGGGGGGAUGACGGCCUUCGGGUUGAAAACUCCUUUCGCUAGGGACGAAGCUUUUUGUGACGGUACCUAGAGAAGAAGCACCGGCUAACUACGUG